rnacentral:rRNA from 1 species
UACGGAGGGUGCGAGCGUUAAUCGGAAUUACUGGGCGUAAAGCGCACGCAGGCGGUCUAUUAAGUCAGAUGUGAAAUCCCCGGGCUUAACCUGGGAACUGCAUCUGAUACUGGGAAGCUAGAGUCUUGUAGGGGGGGGUAGAAUUCCAGGUGUAGCGGUGAAAUGCGUAGAUAUAUGGAGGAACACCAGUGGCGAAGGCGGCUCUCUGGGCCGUAACUGACGCUGAGGCUCGAAAGCGUGGGGAGCAAACAGG